UCCACCGUGAGGUGGAAUCUGAAGGAAGGCGGCGGCAAACCUCCGACCCGAGGUUCACGAACUCCAAUCGAGGCUAGCGACAGUUGGGUGAGUCUGCAAAACAAGACAAAGCCCUUGCUACCGAAGGCUGUCGAGAGUAAAUGGAGCGGGUAGAUGGAGGGAAAGACAACGUU
rfam:Alicyclobacillus sp. TSBA-503 genome assembly, contig: Ga0105849_121